rnacentral:rRNA from 1 species
AGUACGUGAAACCGCUUAGGGGUUAAGCCCGAUGAACCUGAAUAUCUGAAUUGAGAGAUUCAAUGCUAUUCAAUUGGUUAUCUUAACAAUAACUAAUCGAUGGUAUGCACUUUUCUCAUAGUAGGACAUUGCGAUCCAUUAGUAGUCUCUUUGAGACGGUUUAUCAAACGGCCCGUAUAGUCAGUUUAAUCUAUCUGCAGUAUUUUCAAUAUUGUAUGGUUAAUGCUAUUGCGGUGACCUGGUAAACAGCUGAUGGAACUUAACGAUCAUGCCAUGCCAUUCCAUAUGUAUCACAAUUAGAAAUAUUUUCGAAUAUUUUUAUGCAGUGAUCGCAUGUAUUUGAUUAGCAAUGCGAUAGAUUUGGGAUACCUUCGGGACCCGUCUUGAAACACGGACCAAGAAGUCUAACAUGUGUGUAAGUCAUUGGGUAUAUUGUUGAAACCUAAAGGCGAAAUUAAAAUAACUAUUUUAUGGGAUUACAAGCAAUAUAUUAUAUUGUUUCUCCAUCCCGGGGCGUUCUAUAUGAACAUGGUCCAAGCAAUUGGGCCCUCUGUUCUGGAGCGUACCUUGAACAUACAUGCUGUGACCC